CUUGUGGACUGUUCCUCCAAUGAACGCACUUGUAAUUAUGAUGGAAGCCUUUGUACCUGUCUGUGAAUGUAAGCUCUGCUUCUUCCCUCUCUGCCAAAACCCAACUAACAGGGACUGACCGGCCACAGAGCUACGUGUGUGGGGCCUGCUGGGCACACUCAGAGUCGCCUCACUGCACCCUGAAAGCUGCCCAGCCGUGCAGGGCCCUUCUCCCAAGGAUGGCCGUGACACUGAGGCUCAACGAGGUCUGGGGCCUUAGCCAUCUGUUGAGUGGCCAAAAUUCAAGCCCAAGUCCAUCUGGGGUUACGUCCAGUACUCUUCCAAGCCUCCAUGAAAAACCUUCUGACCAAAUCCUCCCUGUGUCCAUUCUAGAUACUGCCCAGAAGGACACCAUGAGAACCUAGAGCAGCCCAGGAGAUUCGCCUAGAAGGACGUCCUGGGACAUGUUCUCCCCUGGGUUCUCACUGUUCUAAUUUUAACCAGGUGGGUCUCUUCACGAGCUCUUAGCUUUGGUGUCUGUAAAGCAGAGGGAGUGGUUCCCUAAGCCACUUCCUGUGCUGCACCUUCACCCGUGACUGUCUGUGUACAUCUGAAGGCAGGAGCGCUUGGUUCUGGGUCUCAGUCUGAUGGUAACUGCCCACAGAUUCGUUGUGCCUGAGCCUAGCCUGCUCCCCAAGGAGGGACACCAGGCCCACUUCCUCUACCCCAAGCUCUUGGCUGCUGUCUGCUUUCUCAUCUGUCCAACCUGGACUGGGGAAGCUGACCCUGGCUCUGUAGGUGUCACCACAUCCCUGCGACCACGUCACAGGUCAGACCUGCCCGAGGCUUCCACACAGGUGCUAGUGAACAGACUCAGUGGAGGGGCACGGGGCGCACUCUGGCUUGGGGAAUCGAGGACAGCCUUGAGAAGGAAGAAAGGGGAGAAGCAGCCUUUGGUGCUGGCUGGGAGGCUGGCAGAGGCUGAGGGCGCGUGGUCAGCCCCAGCUCAGGGGCAAGAGCACCGAAGGCUGCAGACACUUGGCUGUAAGUCCCACACGACUCACUGCCUUGGAACUAAUCCUCUUAGCUGGUUGAAGGGAUGUGAGUUUUGGGAUCCAACAGAUCUGGCCUUAGAAAACACGUGA
rnacentral:lncRNA from 1 species